rnacentral:rRNA from 1 species
UACGUAGGGGGCAAGCGUUGUCCGGAUUUAUUGGGCGUAAAGAGCGUGUAGGCGGCCAGGUAGGUCCGCUGUAAAAGUCAAAGGCUCAACCUUUGAAUGUCAGUGGAUACUGCCGGGCUAGAGUCCGGAAGAGGCGAGUGGAACUCCUGGUGUAGCGGUGGAAUGCGCAGAUAUCAGGAAGAACACCUAUGGCGAAGGCAGCACUCUGGGACGGUACUGACGCUGAGACGCGAAAGCGUGGGGAGCGAACAGG